rnacentral:lncRNA from 1 species
UCUCUGUGUGGCCUGGCAGCAUCCCUGGAUUGGCCAGGCUUUCCAUGUCCUGGGAGGCUAUGCAGCGCCAUAACAACGAAGAGGGCACUUUAUGCUGCCAAUGCCACACAAUAGACUGCUCAGUGUCCAGGAGAACAGUUGCCCUGAGGGAGUACUCAAAGAAGACAGUGAAAACGAGGGGCCAGGUCUGCAAUCAGGGCUGUGUUCAAACACUGGCCGUGCCAUUUCCUAGCCAAGUGACCCUGGGUAAGUUACUUAACUUUAAUAAGUUUUAGUUUUCUCCUUUGUAAAAGGAGAUAGCCCUGUC